rnacentral:rRNA from 1 species
AUUGAACGCUGGCGGCAUGCCUUACACAUGCAAGUCGAACGGCAGCACGGGGGCAACCCUGGUGGCGGGUAGCGAACGGGUGAGUAAUGCAUCGGAACGUGCCCAGUAGUGGGGGAUAACCAGUCGAAAGACUGGCUAAUACCGCAUACGACCCAAGGGUGAAAGCGGGGGACCGUAAGGCCUCGCGCUAUUGGAGCGGCCGAUGUCUGAUUAGCUAGUUGGCGGGGUAAGAGCCCACCAAGGCGACGAUCAGUAGCUGGUCUGAGAGGACGACCAGCCACACUGGGUCUGAGACACGGCCCAGACUCCUACGGGAGGCAGCAGUGGGGAAUUUUGGACAAUGGGCGCAAGCCUGAUCCAGCCAUGCCGCGUGCGGGAAGAAGGCCUUCGGGUUGUAAACCGCUUUUGGCAGGAACGAAACGGCGCAAGCCAAUACCUUGCGCUAAUGACGGUACCUGCAGAAUAAGCACCGGCUAACUACGUGCCAGCCGCCGCAGUAACAC